UUUCCUCCUAAACCGAUGAAAACCAGUCAAAAACCUCUCUCCAAUCCAAGUUUUAAAAUUCUAGUGUGUGAACAAACCGUUGAUAUCAAAAGAGAGAGAAGUGCUUUAGGAACCAGUUGGAGGUAAAAGAUUAGAAAAUCUCCAAAUUCCAAAGCAGUCAGGUGCAGAUUAAUUCUGAUGAAACCAUUGUUGCAAGUCUCUUUUGGCUGCCCGUUCCACCAUAAAUGACGCUUUCUCUAUCCAGUACGGCUAGAUCGAGAAUCGACAACCUUCUCCAGCCAGUGCGUGAGCAAUGAUGUUGGCUUGUCUUCCAGCAAAACAAAAGGUGACUUUUGCAAAUAUCCCCAAUUUUGCCUUAAUAUCUUGAACAAUCGGGCUAAUGAUAGACUUGUCUAAUGUAGGAGAAUUCAAUUUCCCAGUGACAGUAAGUGAAUUGCCCUCCAUCUGUACUGAUCAAAAUCCUAACUCAGCCGCAAAGAUGAUGGCCUACUCAUACGCCCGUGCUUCGGCAAUGAAGGCAUCAGUAACACCAUGGUGGGGGUAAGUACAUGCAACCAUAAUAAGACCUGAAGAAUUUAUAGCCAGUACUCUUGAGAUAGAAGUUUUUGUAUUAGGGCUAAAAGAUGCAUCAAAAUUAAGUUUAAUACUGUCAGAACCUGGUGGUACACAUUUCUCCUGUUUAGGUAAAAAAACUGAUGGAUUUAGUUCACCCAGAGCCUCUAGCUCUACUAGGUGUGCCUUAAUAAACACUGUCAAACCCUGCACUAAUUAUCUAACACCUUCAUGAGCAAGCUUAUUUCAUGCAUGCCAAACCAAAUUGCCCAGUAAGAUAUCACCAAUAACUUCUCUAAUCUUGUGUUAGGUUGCAUGAAAACCUCUGCUAACCAUGUUUUAUAAUCUGAAUUAUGUGAGGUAAGGAUAGUCGUAACAUUCAAUGAGUCUAGAACUUUCUUGGAAACAGAGCAAUGUCGUAACAAAUGGUCAAUAGAUUCUUCAGCUGAAUUGCACAAGGGACAGACAUUUUUAACUUGUAGUUUUCUGCGUUGUAAAUUAUCAAAAGUUGGUUGAUAAUUUUUUGCGAAUCUCUAUACUUCAAUCUUGAUUUUUGUUCAGAGCUGUAGUGCCUACAAAUUAAUGUAGAAUGUUGUAACUAAAUUAGGCAUGGCUGUAGAACGUAGACCCUUGUUUUGUAACUCUUCGUCUAGCAGAAGCCUGUAACCACUCUUAGAAGAAUAUUCACCAAAACCUUCAUGUCUCCACACCAAUUUGUCUAUUGGCUUUGAUUGGGCAAGUGGAGUACAUAGGAUUCUCUCUACAUGGUCUUCAUAAAAAAAGAGUCUCACUCUUUCUUCUACCCAGGUAUUGGAAUUAUGAUUAAUUAAUUUUGAUACUUUUGUGUACCUGAUAUCUAUGUUCUGAACCUGUAUUCUUUCAUUUCCAGGUCCAGGGAUUCAAGAAUCAUUCCAGAUAUUUAUAUUCUCACCUAUGCCAAUUCUCCAACCGACUCCCUUUUUGAUUAAACCCCGAGCACUCAAAAUACUUCUCUAGGUAAAUGAAGGGUAAGCACUUAACUGAACAUUCAUAAAUUCUAAAUCCAGGUAAUACCUGACUUUCAUUACUUGUGCCAACAAACUCAAUGGAUUAGAUAAAAUACGCUAACAUUGUUUGGCUAGCAAAGCAUCGUUAAACUUAGUCAAAUCACGAAAACUUAAUCCUCCACAAACUUUCGGUAAAUAGAGUGAAUGCCAUGUACUCCAAUGAAUACCAUUAGAUGAUUUGUUGUUUCCCCACCAAAAUUUGUUGAGAAUGUUUUCCAGUUUACUACACAUAAUUUUAGGUAGAAGAAAACAUUGCAUUGUAUAUAGAGGUAUAGCUUGUAGUAUCGCCUUAAUAAACACCUCUUUGCUACCCAUAGAUAGAUAUCUUAUACUACAACAUUCAACUUUCUUGCUAAAUCGAUUCAGAUAAUGGUGAAAGGCCUCUUUCUUACGUCUGCCAACCAUCGUAGGUAAACCUAGGUAUUUCUCCGGAUUAGUCGACACUUAUACUCCCGAAACACCACCUAUGAGGUCCCUAAUUGAACUUUCCAUAUUCAAACUGACAUAAAUUAGGGAUUUAUCAUAGUUAACCUUUUGGCCAAAAGCAUUUUCGUACUCUGUAAUAAUUUGUCGUAUUAUCUUUGCACCAAUAAUUGAAGCAUCUCUGAACAGUAUGCAAUCAUUCGCAAAAAACAGAUGGUUGAUUGCCAACCUUCCUAUUCCAAUCUAAGCCUUUUUAUCAAACCAGAUCUACUAGCCUCAUUUAGGGCUGUAAAUGAACCGAGCUUGAAUGAAAAACCUUUGUCCAUGUUCGUUUGUUUAUUUUUAAGCUUGUUCGUGUUCAGUUUGUGUUCUUUAAGAAUUUCAAAUUUUUGUUCAUGUUCGUUUAUUUAAAAUUAUGUAUGUUCAUGUUCGUUUGUUUAAUGUUCACAAACAUGUUCAUUUAACUUAAUUGAACAUGUUCACGAGCAAUGUUAAUAAAUAAUAAACAAACAAACAAUAAAUACAUACACACACAUAUAUUAUUUAGAUAUAAAAUAGUCAAAUAUAAAUAUUAAUAAUUAUAUUAUAAAUGAAAAAAAUACAAACCAAGAUAAUUUUAUUAAUAUAUACUAAUGGAACAAUAAAUGAGUUUUAAGAUAAUUUUAUUAAUAUAUACUAAUGGAAUUUUUAUAAGAAAAUCAUUAAUAAAUAAAUGAGUCAAUAAACGAGCUUGUUCGUGAACAUAAACGAAUCGAACAUACAUCUAUUUGUGUUUGUUUGUUUAUUAAACGAACAUAAAAAUUUUGUUCAUGCUCGUUUAUUUAGCUUAAUAAACGAACAUUAUACGAACGGUUCACGAACAGUUCAUCAAACGUUCUGUUCAUUUACACCCCUAGCCUCAUUAAGAAUGGUAGAAAAGCCCUCAACAUGCAAUAUAAAUAAAUAGGGAUUAUGUGGGUCUUUUUGUCGUAGCCUCUUGAAAGGUAGGAACUUGUCGCUGACUUCUUCAUUAAUGAUCAUCAAAAAUGGGAAAUAUCAACCGAGUCCAAACAUUGCCGAAGAACUGAAAAAAUUUCCAAAUAGCAAUCUUUCUCAGAAACAAGUUCAGCAAUUUCUUGGAAUUGUUAAUUAUCUCAGGGAUUUUAUUCCCAAGAUAGCAAAAUUAACAAAUUUUUUAAGGAAGAUGCUAAAGAAAGAUUCACCGCCCUGGAAGUCCAAACAGAUAAAAGCCAUUAGACAAUUGAAAGAAAAGGCAGCCCACCUGCCACCAUUACAAAUUCCUUCCAAAGAGAAACGAAUUUUGCAAACAGACGCAAGUGAUAAAUACUAGGGAGCAAUUCUCUUUGAAAAAGACAAUGGAAAAAGAAGACUUUGUGGAUAUAAAAGUGGAAGGUUCUCAGAUGCAGAAAUCCAUUAUCACUCUACUUUCAAGGAAAUCCUUGCAGUGAAAUAUGGAAUUACCAAAUUUCAGUUUCAUCUAACAGGAUAUCAUUUCCUUGUUGAAAUGGAUAUGUUAUCUUUUCCAAAAAUGAUAAAGUUCAAACAGAAAGAAGUUCCUCAUCCACAACUUCUCCGCUAGGCAGAAUGGUUCUCUAGAUUCUCUUUUGAUGUCAUUCUUAUUAAAGGUAAGGAUAAUGUUAUCGCUGACAUCCUAACCAGAUUACCUGAAACCACCCAUGUUUCGAAUCCAAAACCUGUUGAAGUGUUCAUGUUUCAACCAUCAUCUUCAAAGAAAAAAGGAAAACAGAAACAACAGCCACCACCAUCACCAUUCUCCAUUCCUUGUAAACCAAACACUCAUCCUGAUCAUCCUCCUGAAGUUUUGAGUUUAAUCCUCGAGAAAAGAUUUCAUAAAGAAGCCAUGAAUAUGAUGCUUUCCUACCAAUUAAACCUCUUUAGGAAUUUUGGGGGAUUAUUUCUUAAACCUUUAGGACUUCAUCGUGAAUACCCUUUCAAAAACCCAAUCAAAUUCCAGUUUGGUGAAUUCCCAGAAGAAUUAAAAUGGAUGUUGUGGUAUUUAACUCAUCUCUUUCAUAUAGGAAUUGAGUUUUUUAUCCAUGAUCUCCAACAUUUCUUGACAUUGGCAAUCAAUAAUGAAGAAGCCCCUGAAAUGAUAAAUCUGGCUACAUUUCUAAAAUGGUUCCAUCCUUUGGAACAAUGGCAAUAUAUGCUCAUGUUUGAGUUUCUCAAAAACACACGUGUCCAAUGGAUCGUAACCAUUUUUUACAAACCUCAAUAUUUCAUGCAACAUGGACCAGCUACACAGCUUGCUGCCUUACCCAGCACAUGGAUCCACAAAACAUAUUUUGAUGAGGUAUAUGAAAAUCCUUUUGAUAUUAAGAAUUUACAAAAAUAUUUAUGUCAGAUUAACAGGAUUAUCCCUUCAGAAAUAUGCCAGUUGAGACAAGCCCUUCAAGAAUAUUGGACAAAUAUACCAGAUCCUAAAGAAUGGUCUCAAGAUUAUCCUAUGCAUUGCAGCCAAGUUAUUCAAGAUUUUCAAGAUCUUUAAGAAAUAGUUGCCUGGAAAGAUAUUCAUGAAACAAAAGAAUCAAGCCAAAAUUCAAAAGCAAAAGCCCCUUUUACUGACAAUGAUGUGAUACCACCAGAUGAUCUCGAAACACGAAUUGAACAGCUGGAGCUCAAAUGUUAUGAAGCACGUGAAGAAAAGAAAAGGAAAAUAAUAGAGCUCAACAUCACAUCUGACAUUGACACAGAUUAUGGCACUAUUGGGUCAGAAUCCGAGACAUCAGGAUAAGAUUCCUAUCUAUCUGCUGAGUCAUGUCCUUUACUUUCCUUUAAGUCCUGUCUGUAAUUAGUAUGUUUGUAAAGCAGAUUCCUAUCUAUCUGCUCGUAUAACUUUUCAUACCUAUAUAAGGAUGAAAGAACUCCAGUUGUAAAAAAAGAGAACUACUACGACCAGAAAUAAAAUAUUAGUGUACUUAUAAAAAUAUGUCUUUCUAAACCUCUCUAAUCUUUUCCUCCAUGGAUAUGGAAUAUUUUUGAAAGAAAAUCUCUCAUGAGUUUAAGAGUAUGCUCUGUGCUUGCCAUACUAUGGAUCCUGCACAUCAGAAAUUAAACUUAAGAUAAAAGAUAUCAUUAAGUCCAGUUGAGUUUGAAGUAGUCUGAAUUAAUAGUGAUUAACAGCUAAAGGCAGAGCCUUGUUGAUGGCCGUAAAAGAGGAAAAGGCCUGUGUUUUGGCUUUGCAUACCUGCUGUUAUGAACUAUUAAUCUCAGAUAUCCCAACUUCUUACUCACCUGCCCGUAAUGGUAUCAGAGCCAGUAACUCUUAGAUUUUCUUUCAUUAAAAAUCCAGACUCAGAAAGGAAAAAAAAUUCUCAUAUAUGGAAACCUCUUCUCAAUUAUCUACUAGCAAAACACCUCUCUCUCUCCCAGAAUCACCUUUUAAAUUCCAUUCUACAAAAAAGAUUUCUUCUUUGUAUGAAGUUGAAUACUUCACAGAAGAAGAAAAAGUUCAAGCUACUAAUCUUCCUCUUGUAAAUCCAAACUCUACUUAUCAAAAGCCUUCCUUUUUACCUAUAAAAAGUAUCAAGUCUCUUAUUACCACUAGAAGAAAAGCUGUUAAAGAAUAUGUCCAGUCCUCUAAAUUUGAUAAACAUCUUAUUUAUGGAGGACAAGAAGAACAGUUUAUCACACUGGAAAUCCCAUCUCAUUUCCCUCAGGAAUGGUGCCAACAUGGUUACUCUCAUAUUCAUUUUGGAGCAGUACAACUGGCGCUUAAUUAUCAUGGAACUUCAGGGAAACCUGUUAUAUCCAGAAUAGCCCUCAUUGAUUCAAGGUAUAAGCGUUACCAAGAUGCUUGUAUUGGAACUGUUGAAGCAACGUUGAGUUCAGGAAUGGCUAUGGUAAAACUUUUCCCCAACUUUACCAUGUCACUACAAGAUCCUAAUCUGCUAGAUACACUGAAAGUACAAAUCCAGAUAGUUGGUGUAGAGAUGGUUGAAUCAGCAGUCUCAGCAACCCUACAUUAUCAGAUAGUGUAUAGGGUUCAAGAUCAUGCAUUUAAGUUGACCAAUCAAGGAUCUGAUGAUUCGCUUCUCAUUUCUGUCAAUACAAGAGAAGAGCCUCAUUGUAUUCAUGUACCUAAGCAGAUACCCAAGCAAGAGCUUUUAAAACUUCUUCCAGAAAAAUGGGUAACCAAUUACGAGCAGAUCCAUCAACACAAUCAGCCGAGUAGAUCUACCAAAAGCCAGAUUAUCACAAAAGCUGAUGGAACCAGUGAAAUCAGAUUUGACCACAGUCAUUUAAAGCAAUUCCCGACUCCACCUGUUUUUACCACACAAAUGAUGUUACAACCAGUAACACCGGAGGAAACAAUACCAGGACCAGAAGCAGCACUUAUUCAAAGCUUUCAGUCUGAUGGGAAACCUUUAUAUUGCUUUAAAGAUCCCUCAGGACAUUGUCCUUGGGAUAUCAACUGUUCCUGUGAAGGAUGCAAAAAUGAUGUCUUUGAAGAACUUGAUGAAGACAUUAAACGCACCCGAAGAAAAAGAAAUGGCAAAAAACCAACGCAGUCAAAUUUCUAUGAAAGAUGGAUGAAUGGAGACCCAAACAUUGGCCCUUUAGGAGAAGAUAAUGGCAAAUUUGUCUAUCUUGUAGAUUAUUCUGCAAAAAGGCCACAGCCUCCUAAAGUCCAACAUCAACCACGGAUGCCUCCACCAUCUCCUCCAAAAGCAUAUCCAGACCAAAAAUGGUUAGCUAAACCCUUGAAGCAACCAUGCUACAAAAGAAUCAAUUAAUGGAUCCAGAAAAAUGAUCAAUUCAUGACAGGCAAUCAAGAAGAACAAAAAAUUACUGCAACUCCAGCAACAAUACCUAUUCAGACAAUCCCAGAAGUUCGGAUGUACACAAGAACUUCUUCCUAUGAUCAAGAAUUUCCACCACUUGAAGAGUUCACAAAAAAUGAAUAUCUUCAUGUUCCAAAUUUUUUUUCAAAACUCCAAACAGAUGCAGAAGGAAAACAAGUCAAGAUAGCAGCAGCAGAAGCCACUUUGAAUUGGCAGACAGAAAAUGCCUUAUCCUAGAACGCUGCAAUCAAGAAGAUUGAUCAUAAGGUUAUGCAGAUUGACAACAAAGUUUCAAAGAUUGAAAGAACAACUGAUGAAAAUGCUGAGAUGAUCAAAAAUCUCAUAAAGCUGUUUCAGAAAAGGCUUAAAGAAGUCGCUCAUGAACCAGCUGCCCCAGGACAGGAUUUAUUCUCUCAUCUUGUACAGAGAGAAAAAGAAAUUCAGAAUCUUAAAGAACAGAUCAAGUAUCUGAAAGAAAAUGGAAAGCUGCCACCACCACAACCAUCAAGAAAUGAAAUUGAACUUUUUCCAUCCAUAAGACAGUUUGACAGCCCUCGACCGACUGGGACACAACCGCUUAUUUUUCCUCCACCUGAGCCAAAAAAGAAGGCCUCAAUCAAUGAUUUGUAUCAACAGAUCAAGGCACAAAAGGAAGAAUAAAAAAGAAAGGCUACAGAAGAAAAAAGAAAAAAGGAGAAGGCGAGAGGAAAAAGACCAGUGGAGAAACAAGAUGAUGAAGAAAGUCAAUUCUCUUCACCACCAACAUCUCCACCACCAAAACAGACAUCUAAGUCAUUAAUGAUGCAAAAUGACAAAAAAAUACUCUAAUCCUUUAACUAGGUUUUUAAGGGAUUAUAGUCAUAAUAUCUUGCCAAAGAUAUCUGUUCUCCGCCAACAAUCAGAAAAAAACUCCAGUACCAGAUUUUCUAGAAGAAUCAGUAUUCUCCUCAGAAGAAUCAGAAAGUCUUGAUAAUUCAGAAUCACCUGAUGAUGAAUCCAACGAUCUCUCAGAAGAAAGAACCACUGAAAACAGAGAAGAGUUACCAGAUGUAAUGGCCACCCCUGGUGUAAAAGUUGAAGAAGUAUCUGAAUAAGAGCUAAUGACUGAAACAGGAGAACUAUCAAAUGCGAGAUUAGCACCACAUAUUUUUACAACAAAGAUGGUUUUCACUUUGGACGAUAUUCCAAUCAAUAGAUGGCCAGAAAGAUUACAAGAAUUCCACUCAAUGCUUUACACCAGAAAGCUGAUAGAAGAAAGCCAUUAUAACAUCCUGACUGAAUUUGUAUCAAGAUUCACAGGAAUGUUAAAGGAUUGGUGGAAUUCAGUAGCUCAACCAGAUCAACUACAAUUCUUAGUAUUAACAGAUUUUUCUCAAGCUAUAAGGAUUAUCCAUAGUUAUUUUAUUGGUAAUCCUGAUGAUCUGCUGACACUCAAGAGACGAGAAUUCUUCAAACGGAAAUGUUGCUCUUACCAGAAAAAAGACUUAUCUAAGCAUUUUUAUGCUAUGAUGAAGCUCUUUUAUGCCCUUGGAUCAGAACCAAGUCUGAAACAAGCCGUUUUUGCAUCCCUUCCAGACCCUAUCCAAGCUGCGAUCAAUCAAAAUCUUUACAGGCAAAACAAAAACAUCCUCAAUUUGACCAUGGGUGAAAUCCAGCAAGAAAUAUUUAUUGCCCUUGAAAACAUUUGCAAUAGAAGUAAAGUUUUCAAGGAUUAUCUUCAUGGUGACAGAAGGAUAGACAAAGCCUGUACUGACUCACACCUCAAAAUUAAAUGUGGCAAGGAAGACAAAUCAUGUUAUUGUCCCACAAAGAAGAAGCAUUUCUGAAAGGAAAGAAAGUUUUCAAGAUCAAUUCCCAAAAGAAAAUACCGAUGGAGAUACCUCAAAAAGAAGAAAUUUUCUAAAAAAGGAAAAUUCACGAGGUGUUACAUCUGCAACAAAAAAGGUCACUUUGCAAAAGAUUAUCCAAAGAACAAAAAAGGAGCAAAGAUGAUCAGACAAAUCCAGCAGAAGUCGGGAAUGAAGAUAACUGAAGAAGAUGAUAUUGAGUCAUUGUUCUCCAUUGAUGAUGAACCAAACGAUUAGUCAAUAUGUGCAAUUCAAAGUUUUGUAGAUAGUGACUACUCAGAAGACUCAGAAUCCUCUUCAUCUGAAUCAUUGAUGAUCCAACCACCAAUGGACUGUCAUUUUCUCUCAGGGACCCCUCAAAUUGCUACCACAGCCGCUGAGAUUUUGGCUCAUCAUAUUCUAGUUUCUAUCUAGUUGAGUAAAUACAGUAGACCUAUUACUGUAAUUGCCUUCAUAGACACUGGAGCCGCAGAAUCUAUCAUCAACCCAGAAAUCCUCCCAGAUGAGUAUUGGGAACCCCAUAUUAGGUAUUUUAGUUUAGCAUCAAGAAAGGUCUUUACGACAAAUCUUAAAAGCAAACCCAUCAAGAUCCAGUUCUUUCCCAAUUGCUCCAUCACUAUAGCAAUAUUGGGUUCAAAGCUUCCUGAAAAAGAUCUUAUUGUUGGUUUUGAUUUAUAUCUUAAAGCCAAAUAAUUAAGAAUUUUACCAGAAGGAUUGAGGUACAAACAUAUGUUCAAACCCUAUGUACCAAUCCCCAGACUAUUCACUAUAGAUGCUGACAAAAUACAUCAAGUUGUUGAAGAACUGAAACAGAAGGCAUGUGUAGAAUUUCAUUCAAAUUUUCUGAAAAAAUGCGAUCAUCCUUUAUAGAAAAAUUUAGAGUUCUUCAUCAAAUUGCCUUUCAAGAAGAAUGAAGAUAUCAAUCCCACCAAGGCUAGUCAUGUUGGAAUGAAUCCAGAUCAUCUCAAGCUGGCUGAAAAAGAAUGUCAACAAUUACAAGUAGAAGGAUUGAUAGAAGCCUCAGAAUCACAAUGGGCAUGUGAAGCAUUCUAUGUCAACAAAAGAUCUGAACAAGCCCGUGGAAAGUUGAGACUGGUAAUCAACUAUUAGCCUCUCAAUCAUUUUCUUCAAGAUGACAAAUUUCCUGUGCCCAAUAAAAAAUACAUAUUUUCAAGUCUUGCGAAAGCCCAGAUCUUUUCAAAAUUUGACUUGAAAGCACGAUUUUGGCAAUUGGGUAUAGAUCCUAAAGAUAAGCCCAAAACAGGUUUCUGUAUCCCAAAUAAACAUUAUCAAUGGACCGUGAUGCCCUUUGGACUCAAGACAGCUCCCUCGAAAUUCCAAAAGGCAAUGAUCAAAAUUUUUUAGCCCAUUAUGGAUCAAGCAUUGAUCUAUAUUGAUGCCAUCCUACUCUACAACCCAGAUGAAAAAGAUCAUGCAAUUCUCCUCAACCAAUUCAAACAAAUUAUUCUUGAUCAAGGAAUAAUACUUUCUGAAAGGGAAAUGCAGAUCAACAAAGAAAUUCGGGAUAUCUGAGAUUAAUAGUUCAUAACAGCAGGUAUGCAAAGCCAAAACACAGGCCUUUUCCUCUUUUACGGCCAUCAACAAGGCUCUGCCUUUUAGCUGUUAAUCACCAUUAAUUCAGACUACUUCAAACUCAACUAGACUUAAUGAUAUCUUUUAUCUUAAGUUUAAUUUCUGAUGUGCAGGAUCCAUAGUAUGGCAAGCACAGAGCAUACUCUUAAACUCAUGAGAGAUUUUCUUUCAAAAAUAUUCCAUAUCCAGGCAGGAAAAGAUCAGAGAGGUUUAGAAAGACAUAUUUUUAUAAGCACACUAAUAUUUUAUUUCUGGUCGUAGUAGUUCUCCUUUUUUACGACUGGGGUUCUUUCAUUCUUAUAUAGGUAUGAAAAGUUAUACGAGCAGAUAGAUAGGAAUCUGCUUUACAAACAUACUAAUUACAGACAGGACUUAAAGGAAAGUAAAUGACAUGACUCAGCAGAUAGAUAGGAAUCUGCUUUACAAACAUACUAAUUACAGACAGGACUUAAAGGAAAGUAAAGGACAUGACUCAGCAGAUAGAUAGGAAUCUGCUUUACAAACAUACUAAUUACAGACAGGACUUAAAGGAAAGUAAAGGACAUGACUCAGCAGAUGGAUAGGAAUCUUAUCUUGAUGUCUCGGAUUCUGACCCAGUAGUGCCAUAAUCUGUGUCAAUGUCAGAUGUGAUGUUGAGCUCUAUUAUUUUUCUUUUCUUUUCUUCACGUGCUUCAUAACAUUUGAGCUCCAGUUGUUCAAUUCGUGUUUUGAGAUCAUUUGGUGGUAUCACAUCAUUGUUAGUAAAAGGGGCUUUUGCUUUCGAAUUUUGGCUUGAUUCUUUUGUUUCAUGAAUAUCUUUCCAAGCAGCUAUUUCUUGAAGAUCUUAGAAAUCUUGAAUAACUUGGCUGCAAUGCAUAGGAUAAUCUUGGGACCAUUCUUUAAGAUCUGGUAUAUUUGUCCAAUAUUCUUGAAGGGCUUGUCUCAACUGGUUUUGGUAUGGUGUUGGUGGAUUUCUUUUAACAUCCCAUGGUGCUUGUGAAUUUCCUGAAGGCCAUAUUUCUGAAGGGAUAAUUUUGUUAAUCUGGCAUAAAUAUUUUUGUAAAUUCUUAAGAUCAAAUGGAUUUUCAUACACCUCAUCAAAAUAUGUUUUAUGGAUCCAUGUGUUGGGUAAGGCAGCAAGCUGUGUAGCUGGUCCAUGUUGCAUGAAGUAUUGAGGUUUGUAAAAAAUAAUUACGAUCCAUUGGACACGUGUGUUUUUGAGAAACUCAAACAUGAGCAUAUCUUGCCAUUGUUCUAAAGGAUAGAACCAUUUUAGAAAUGUAGCCAGGUUUGUCAUUUCAGGGGCUUCUUCAUUAUUGAUUGCCAAUGUCAAGAAAUGUUGGAGAUCAUGGAUAAAAAACUCAAUUCCUAUAUGAAAGAGAUGAGUUAAAUACCACAACAUCCAUUUUAAUUCUUCUGGGAAUUCACCAAACUGGAAUUUGAUUGGGUUUAUGAAAGGGUAUUCAGGAUGAAGUCCUAAAGGUUUAAGAAAUAAUCCCCCAAAAUUCCUAAAGAGGUCUAAUUGGUAGGAAAGCAUCAUAUUCAUGGCUUCUUUAUGAAAUCUUUUCUCGAGGAUUAAACUUAAAACUUCAGGAGGAUGAACAGGAUGAGUGUUUGGUUUACAAGGAAUGGAGAAUGGUGGUGGUGGUGGCUGUUGUUUCUGUUUUCCUUUUUUCUUUGAAGAGGAUGGUUGAAACAUGAACACUUCAACAGGUUUUGGAUUAGAAACAUGGGUGGUUUCAGGUAAUCUGGUUAGGAUGUCAGCGAGAACAUUAUCCUUACCUUUAAUAUGAAUGACAUCAAAGGAGAAUCUAGAGAACCAUUCUGCCCAGCGGAGAAGUUGUGGAUGAGGAACUUCUUUCUGUUUGAACUUUAUCAUUUUUGGAAAAAAUGACAUAUCCAUUUCAACAAGGAAAUGAUAUCCUGUUAGAUGAAACUGGAAUUUGGUAAUUCCAUAUUUCACUGUAAGGAUUUCCUUGAAAGUAGAGUGAUAAUGGAUUUCUGCAUCUGAGAACCUUCCACUUUUAUAUCUACAAAGUAUUCUUUUUCCAUUGUCUUCUUCAAAGAGAAUUGCUCCCCAGUAUUUAUCACUUGCGUCUGUUUGCAAAAUUUGUUUCUCUUUGGAAGGAAUUUGUAAUGGUGGCAGGUGGGCUGUCUUUUCUUUCAAUUGUCUAAUGGCUUUUGUCUUUUUGGACUUUCAGGGCGGUGGAUCUUUCUUUAGCAUCUUCCUUAAAGAAUUUGUUAAUUUUGCUAUCUUGGGAAUAAAAUCCCUGAGAUAAUUAACAAUUCCAAGAAAUUGCUGAACUUGUUUCUGUGAAAGAUUGCUAUCUGGAAAUUUUUUCAGUUCUUCGGCAAUGUUUGGACUCGGUUGAUAUUUCCUAUUUUUGAUGAUCAUUCCCAAAAACUCAAUUUCUUCUUUGUUGAUCUGCAUUUUCCUUUCAGAAAGCAUUAUUCCUUGAUCAAGAAUAAUUUGUUUGAAUUGGUUGAGGAGAAUUGCAUGAUCUUUUUCAUCUGGGCUGUAGAGUAGGAUGUCAUCAAUAUAGAUCAAUGCUUGAUCCAUAAUGGGCUAAAAAAUUUUGAUCAUUGUCUUUUGGAAUUUCGAGGGAGCUGUCUUGAGUCCAAAGGGCAUCACGGUCCAUUGAUAAUGUUUAUUUGGGAUACAGAAACCUGUUUUGGGCCUGUCUUCAGGAUCUAUACCCAAUUGCCAAAAUCGUGCUUUCAAGUCAAAUUUUGAAAAGAUCUGGGCUUUCGCAAGACUUGAAAAUAGGCAAUUUCUAUUGGGCAAAGAGAAUUUGUCAUCUUGAAGAAAAUAAUUGAGAGGCUGAUAGUUUAUUACUAGUCUCAACUUUCCACGGGCUUGCUCAGAUCUUUUGUUGACAUAGAAUGCUUCACAUGCCCAUUGUGAAUCUGAGGCUUCUAUCAAUCAUUCUAGUUGUAAUUGUUGACAUUCUUUUUCAGCUAGCUUGAGAUGAUCUGGAUUCAUUCCAACAUGACUAGCCUUGGUGGGAUUGAUAUCUUCGUUCUUCUUGAAAGGUAAUUUGAUGAAAAACUCUAAAUUUUUUCAUAAAGGAUGAUCGCAUUUUUUCAGAAAAUCUGAGUGAGAUUCUGCACAUGCCUUUUGUUUCAGUUCUUCAACAACUUGUUGUAUUUUGUUAGCAUCUAUAGUGAACAGUCUGGGGAUUGGUAUUAAGGGUUUGAACAUUUGUUUGUACCUCAAUCCUUCUGGUAAAAUUCUUAAUUGUUUGGCUUUAAGAUAUAAAUCAAAACUAACAAUAAGAUCUUUUCCAGGAAGCUUUGAUCCCAAUAUUGCUGUAGUGAUGGAGCAAUUGGGAAAGAACUGGAUCUUGAUGGGUUUGCUUUUUAGAUUUGUCGUAAAGACCUUUCCUGAUGCUGAACUAAAAUACCUAAUAUGGGGUUCCCAAUACUCAUCUAGGAGGAUUUCUGGGUUCAUGAUAGAUUCUGUGGCUCUAAUGUCUAUGAAGGCAAUUACAGUAAUAGGUCUACCGUAUUUACUCAAGUAGAUAGAAACUGGAAUAUGAGGAGCCAAAAUCUCAGUGGCCGUGGUAGCAAUUUGAGGGGUCCCUGAGAGAAAAUGACAGUCCAUUGGUGGUUGGAUCAUCAAUGAUUCAGAUGAAGAGGAUUCUGAGUCUUCUGGUAGUCACUAUCUGCGAAACUUUGAAUUGCACAUAUUGACUGAUUGUUUGGUUCAUCAUCAAUGGAGAACAAUGACUCAAUAUCAUCUCCUUCAGUUAUUUUAAUUCUCGACUUCUGCUGGAUUUGUCUGAUCACCUUUGCUCCUUUUUUGUUCUUUGGACAAUCUUUUGCAAAGUGACCUUUUUUGUUGCAGAUGUAACACCUCGUGGAUUUUUCUUUUUUGGAAAAUUUCUUCUUUUUGAGGUAUCUCCAUUGGUAUUUUCUUUUGGGAAUUGAUCUUGAAAACUUUCUUUCCUUUCAGAAAUGCUUCUUCUUCUUUGUGGGACAAUAACAUGAUUUGUCUUCCUUGCCACAUUUAAUUUUGAGGUGUGAGUCAGUACAGGCUUUGUCUAUCCUUUUGUCACCAUGAAGAUAAUCCUUGAAAACUUUUCUUCUAUUGCAAAUGUCUUCAAGGGCAAUAAAUGUUUCUUGCUAGAUUUCACCCAUGGUCAAAUUGAGGAUGUUUUUGUUUUGCCUGUAAAGAUUUUAAUUGAUCGCAGCUUGGAUAGGGUCUGGAAGGGAUGCAACAACGGCUUGUUUCAGACUUGGUUCUGAUCCAAGGGCAUAAAAGAGCUUCAUCAUAGCAUAAAAAUGCUUAGAUAAGUCUUUUUUCUGGUAGGAGCAACAUUUCCGUUUGAAGAAUUCUCGUCUCUUGAGUGUCAACAGAUCAUCAAGAUUACCAAUAAAAUAACUAUGGAUAAUCCUUAUAGCUUGAGAAAAAUCUGUUAAUACUAAGAAUUGUAGUUGAUCUGGUUGAGCUACUGAAUUCCACCAAUCCUUUAACAUUCCUGUGAAUCUUGAUACAAAUUCAGUCAGGAUGUUAUAAUGGCUUUCUUCUAUCAGCUUUCUGGUGUAAAGCAUUGAGUGGAAUUCUUGUAAUCUUUCUGGCCAUCUAUUGAUUGGAAUAUCGUCCAAAGUGAAAACCAUCUUUGUUGUAGAAACAUGUGGUGCUGAUCUCGCAUUUGAUGGUUCUCCUGCUUCAGUCAUUAGCUCUUAUUCAGAUACUUCUUCAACUUUUACACCAGGGGUGGCCAUUACAUCUGGUAACUCUUCUCUGUUUUCAGUGGUUCUUUCUUCUGAGAGAUCGUUGGAUUCACCAUCAGGUGAUUCUGAAUUAUCAAGACUUUCUGAUUCUUCUGAGGAGAAUACUGAUUCUUCUGGAAAAUCUGGUACUGGAGUUUUUUCUGAUUGUUGGUGGAGAACAGAUAUCUUUUGCAAGAUAUUAUGACUAUAAUCCCUCAAAAACCUAGUUAAAGGAUUAGAGUAUUUUUUGUCAUUUUGCAUCAUUAAUGACUUAGAUAUCUGUUUUGGUGGUGGAAAUGUUGGUGGUAAAGAGAAUUGACUUUCUUCAUAUUGUUUCUCCACUGGUCUUUUUCCUCUCGCCUUCUCCUUUUUUCUUUUUUCUUCUGUAGCCUUUCUUUUUUAUUCUUCAUUUUGUGCCUUGAUCUGUUGAUACAAAUCAUUGAUUGAGGCCUUCUUUUUUGGCUCAGGUGGAGGAAAAAUAAGCGGUUGUGUCCCAGUCGGUCAAGGUCUGUCAAACUGUCUUAUGGAUGGAAAAAGUUCAAUUUCAUUUCUUGAUGGUUGUGGUGGUGGCAGCUUUCCAUUUUCUUUCAGAUACUUGAUCUCUUCUUUAAGAUUCUGAAUUUCUUUUUUCUCUGUACAAGAUGAGAGAAUAAAUCCUGUCCUGGGGCAGCUGGUUCAUGAGCGACUUCUUUAAGCCUUUUUUGAAACAGCUUUAUGAGAUUUUUGAUCAUCUCAGCAUUUUCAUUAGUUGUUCUUUCAAUCUUUGAAACUUUGUUGUCAAUCUGCAUAACCUUAUGAUCAAUCUUCUUGAUUGCAGCGUUCUGGGAUAAGGCAUUUUCUGUCUGCCAAUUCAAAGUGGCUUCUGCUGCUGCUAUCUUGACUUGUUUUCCUUCUGCAUCUGUUUGGAGUUUUGAAGAAAUUUUUGGAAUAUGAAGAUAUUUAUUUUUUGUGAACUCUUCAAGUGGUGGAAAUUCUUGAUCAUAAGAAGAAGUUCUUGUGUACAUCCGAACUUCUGGGAUUGUCUGAACAGGUAUUGUUGCUGGAGUUGCUGCAAUUUUUUGUUCUUCUUGAUUGCCUGUCAUGAAUUGAUCAUUUUUCUGGAUCCAUUUAUUGAUUCUUUUGUAGCAUGGUUGCUUCAAGGGUUUAGCUAACCAUUUUUUGUCUGGAUCUGCUUUUGGAGGAGAUGGUGGAGGCAUUCGUGGUUGAUGUUGGACUUUAGGAGGCUGUGGCCUUUUUGCAGAAUAAUCUACAAGAUAGACAAAUUUGCCAUUAUCUUCUCCUAAAGGGCCAAUGUCUGGGUCUCCAUUCAUCCAUCUUUUAUAGAAAUUUGACUGCGUUGGUUUUUUGCCAUUUCUUUUUCGUCGGGUGUGUUUAAUGUCUUCAUCAAGUUCCUCAAAGAUAUCAUUUUUGCAUCCUUCACAGGAACAGUUGAUAUCCCAAGGACAAUGUCCUGAGGGAUCUUUAAAGCAAUAUAAAGGUUUCCCAUCAGACUGAAAGCUUUGAAUAAGUGCUGCUUCUGGUCCUGGUAUUGUUUCUUCCGGUGUUACUGGUUGUAACAUCAUUUGUGUGGUAAAAACAGGUGGAGUCGGGAGUUACUUUAAAUGACUGUGGCCAAAUCUGAUUUUACUGGUUCCAUCAGCUUUUGUGAUAAUCUGGCUUUUGGUAGAUCUAAUCGGCUGAUUGUGUUGAUGGAUCUGCUUGUGAUAAUCUUGCUUGGGUAUCUGCUUAGGUACAUGAAUACAAUGAGGCUCUUCUCUUGUAUUGACAGAAAUGAGAAGCGAAUCAUCAGAUCCUUGAUUGGUCAACUUAAAUACAUGAUCUUGAACCCUAUACACUAUCUGAUAAUGUAGGGUUGCUGAGACUGCUGAUUCAACCAUCUCUACACCAACUAUCUGGAUUUGUACUUUCAGUGUAUCUAGCAGAUUAGGAUCUUGUAGUGACAUGGUAAAGUUGGGGAAAAGUUUUACCAUAGCCAUUCCUGAACUCAACGUUGCUUCAACAGUUCCAAUACAAGCAUCUUGGUAACGCUUAUACCUUGAAUCAAUGAGGGCUAUUCUGGAUAUAACAGGUUUCCCUGAAGUUCCAUGAUAAUUAAGCGCCAGUUGUACUGCUCCAAAAUGAAUAUGAGAGUAACCAUGUUGGCACCAUUCCUGAGGGAAAUGAGAUGGGAUUUCCAGUGCGACUAACUGUUCUUCUUGUCCUCCAUAAAUAAGAUGUUUAUCAAAUUUAGAGGACUGGACAUAUUCUUUAACAGCUUUUCUUCUAGUGGUAAUAAGAGACUUGAUACUUUUUAUAGGUGAAAAGGAAGGCUUUUGAUAGGUAGAGUAUGGAUUUAUAAGAGGAAGAUUGGUAGCUUGAACUUUUUCUUCUUCUGUGAAGUAAUCAACUUCAUACAAAAAAGAAAUCUUUUUUGCAGAAUAGAAUUUAAAAGGUGAUUUUGGGAGAGAGAGAGGUGCUUUGCUAGUAGACAAUUGAGAAGAGGUUUCCAUAUAUGAGAAUUUUUCUUUUCCUUUCUGAAUCUGGAUUCUUAAUGAAAGAAAAUCUAAGAGUUACUGGCUCUGAUACCAUUACGGGCAGGUGAGUAAGAAGUUGAGAUAUCUGAGAUUAAUAGUUCAUAACAGCAGGUAUGCUAAGCCAAAACACAUGCCUUUUCCUCUUUUACGGCCAUCAACAAGGCUCUGCCUUUUAGCUAUUAAUCACCAUUAAUUCAGACUACUUCUUCAAACUCAACUGGACUUAAUGAUAUCUUUUAUCUUAAGUUUAAUUUCUAAUGUGCAGGAUCCAUAGUAUGACAAGCACAGAGCAUACUCUUAAACUCAUGAGAGAUUUUCUUUCAAAAAUAUUCCAUAUCCAGGCAGGAAAAGAUCAGAGAGGUUUAGAAAGACAUAUUUUAAUAAGCACACUAAUAUUUUAUUUUUGGUCGUAGUAGUUCUCCUUUUUUACAAUUGGGGUUCUUUCAUCCUUAUAUAGGUAUGAAAAGUUAUACGAGCAGAUAGAUAGGAAUCUGCUUUACAAAUAUACUAAUUACAGACAGGACUUAAAGGAAAGUAAAGGACAUGACUCAGCAGAUAGAUAGGAAUCUGCUUUACAAACAUACUAAUUACAGACAAGACUUAAAGGAAAGUAAAGGACAUGACUCAGCAGAUAGAUAGGAAUCUGCUUUACAAACAUACUAAUUACAGACAAGACUUAAAGGAAAGUAAAGGACAUGACUCAGCAGAUAGAUAGGAAUCUUAUCCUGAUGUCUCGGAUUCUGACCCAGUAGUGCCAUAAUCUGUGUCAAUGUCAGAUGUGAUGUUGAGCUCUAUUAUUUUCCUUUUCUUUUCUUCACGUGCUUCAUAACAUUUGAGCUCCGGUUGUUCAAUUCGUGUUUCGAGAUCAUCUGUGGUAUCACAUCAUUGUCAGUAAAAGGGGUUUUUGCUUUUGAAUUUUGGCUUGAUUAUUUUUUUCAUGAAUAUCUUUCCAGGCAGCUAUUUCUUGAAGAUCUUGGAAAUCUUGAAUAACUUGGCUGCAAUGCAUAGGAUAAUCUUGGGACCAAUCUUUAGGAUUUGGUAUAUUUGUCCAAUAUUCUUGAAGGGCUUGUCUCAACUGGUUUUAGUAUGGUGUUGGUGGAUUUCUUUGAACAUCCCAUGGUGCUUGUGAAUUUUCUGAAGGCCAUAUUUCUGAAGGGAUAAUCCUGUUAAUUUGACAUAAAUAUUUUUGUAAAUUCUUAAGAUCAAAAUGAUUUUCAUACACCUCAUCAAAAUAUGUUUUAUAGAUUCAUGUGCUGGAUAAGGCAGCAAGUUGUGUAGCUAGUCCAUGUUGCAUGAAGUAUUGAGGUUUGUAAAAAAUGAUUACGAUCCAUUGGACACGUGUGUUUUUGAGAAACUCAAACAUGAGCAUAUCUUGCCAUUGUUCCAAAGUAUAUUAUCAGAUUUCUACCUACCAAUGAUGAAAGCCCCUUAGGCUUCAUCAAUGUAACUCUCCAAAGCACCCCACAUUUUGUAAACAAGAAUUUUAACAAUGAUUUUGUACAACACAUUACACAAAUUGAUUGGUCGAAAUUAAGUCAUGUUUUUCAGUUUACUGACUUUCAGAAUUCAAACAAUAUGAGUCUUAUUAAUAUCUUUUAAAUCGAUCUUACCAUUUAACAUAACCAAGAAAUAGGUAGUAAUUUUAUUCCUUAAAAUAUGCCAAUUUUUUUUUAUAAAAUAUAGCAGGAAAACCAUCAAUACCUGAAGCCUUGAGAGGUGCCAUAAUUUUGAUAGUAGCCCAUACUUCCUUCGUUUGAAAAGGUGUCAACAAAUCCUUAUUCAUUUUCAGGGGAACACACCGUUGGAUAUUAGCAUAAAUACACGAUGCAUCCUCCAAAGUUGACAGUAAGCAUAGUGCAUUUGGGUCCAUCCUUAUCGCGCUGAUUUUUGUUUCCAUAAGAAACAAAAUUUGGGAACGAAUAUCUCUCAGUUUAUUCUUGAGACGAUUCAUAGCCCGUGAUUUCUUUAGACCACGAACAUUCCAGUUUAAGGUUUUCAUUGUGCCCGAUUGUGCUCGAACAUCCAGUCUGGAUUUAAUCCUCAUAAACCUUUUCAUUUCUGACACCACCAUUUUCGCAUCAUAGUCAAGAAAUGUCUCUAAGAAAAUCCCAAACUUCUGCGCCAUUGACUCCAACAGAAGUCCUAGAGGCAAGUCAUGUACCUAAACGCAAAACUUCGCAUAAAUCAACGGGGCCAUAAACGAGUCCUCCCCUAGUUGAAACUUGUGUAGAAUAAGCAAAGGGUUAUUAAAAAACCAUGGUGUCCCUUUCAGCAGCUGAUUCAUAUCCACCUCAUAGGAAAAUCGAAACAGACAUCGCUUGUCACCAAUAUCUGUAAUGGAGAAGCCCCUUAAAGGGUGCCAUAAAUUAGCCAUUUUGUUCCUCAUUGAAGGAAAAUGCACUAUGCUUACUGUCAAAUAGCUUACCACCAAACAUAGUUUAUCCUGGAUCUGGAAAGGUUCCUCCUCACCAUCAAUUAUGUACAGAUUAGCCAACUCUUCCUCCAUUAUUCUCUUAUUGAGGAAGACUAAAAACGUGCCAAUCAGCAGUUGAAAAAACACUCCAAACGGCAGAUAAGAACCAACACCUAAUUAGAUAAACAUUAUUUUUAUGUAUUGUUUUCUCCUUCUAGGAUUUGAUUCAGUUUUUAGAAACUACUAACAUCAUUCUCUAUAUAACAUCACUUUUAUUUAUAUAUUGCACACACAAAUAAUUAUACUUAUCUAAUAUAAAAAUAAAUUGGUGUAUUUUUUUUAAAAUGUACAAUUGUAUCAAAAUCAAAAUUUCAUUUAUUAAUUUGAACCACAUUCAAAGUUUAUUGUGUAUAAUUGCACCAAAUCAAAGUUUUUGUAUCAAAUUACACAUUGAACCAAAGUUCAUAUAUAGUCUUAAUAUAUUUUUGUUUCCAAUUCAUAAGUUUGACUCGAAUUAAUAACGUCGAUCAACUCAAUAUUAUUAUAAGGCUUAAUGCAUGAUUUGACUAUAAAAUUAUACCAUUUUAUCACUUUGCUAGCUAAAAUUUUUUUAGUUUGGGUUGAUAACUAAAGUUAUAUUUUAUUACCCAAUUUGUUGGCAUGUGGCUCCUAUUAGAAUGUGUUAUGUGAUACCUAAGGUCAAUUAAAACACGACAUGUGGCACCCAUGUAUAUUGAAAUUAAAUAUAUAUAAUUUCUGAAUAAUUCUAAUAUAUAUAAAUUGAAAGAAAUAAAAUAUUUAAAUAAUUAAAUAUUUUAGAAAACUUUGUUGAUUUUGACCCAAUUGACUUUAAGUAACUCUAGUUGAUUGGUUAUUGAUCGAGGAUGACUAAUUCUUGAUUGAACUUGACAGGUUGUUGAUUGGUAUUGGCUGAAUUUAAAAAAAAUAGAUUUUUUUUUAGAAAUUAUAUAUUUUAUUUUUAAGUUUUUGAAAUUUUUUUUAAAAGUUAUUAAAAUUUCUCUAAUAUAAUAUAUAUGAAUUUUAAGCUUUCGUAAUUAGUAAUUUUCAAAUACUUAACUAUUUUUUUGAAUUUUUAUAAUUUUUGAGUAUAUUUUUGAGUUUAUUGAAAAAAUAUUUUUUAAAUUAUUGCAAGAUUUCUAGAGUUUAUAUAUAUUUUUAAUUUUAUGAAGUUUAAAUAAAAAUUUUUGUUAUAAAUAUAUUAAAAUUUGAUGUCCAUAACCUCUUAAAACCCUUCAUUAAAUUAUGAGAGAAAACUCUUCCCUUUCAUUCACGAGAUUGGAAAAUGCAAGAGUAAAGUGGAUGUUUCAAUGAAGAAAUUAAGCCUUCAUUUAUAUGUACUUAACUAAAUGUUAGAAGGCUUAAAAAUGAGCCUCUUGUAAGUGAAAAGAAAUAUACGAGCAAGUUCUUUAGUGUCUUUUGCUUGCUGUUUAGUUUUUACUUGUUAGUAUUUUAUUUAUUUUGAUUAUUCUAUAACAUGCUGUCGACAUGAUAAAAUAAUAAGGUUUGAACCUAUGUUACCGGUUGCAAUUCAAAGCUCGUGACCAUCGUAGAAAAUGAAUCCCAUGAAGGUUUAUCGUUUAGAUGGGGAUCAUUUAACCCACGAGAACUAAUCCGAUUCAAAGAACUGUUGAAGAAGCCUAUCCAUUUAAAGCCUGGGUGGCCCAAUGAUGCGGAUAUGGAAAGUUAGGUUACCUUGGUAAAUAGGGAAACUGAUCAUAGAAGAUUGAAUAGAAUAACAUCUUGUAAGAUUAGAUUAGAUUUGAUUAUAUAGUCUUGUAAAUCCCUUGAUUGUAGGGAUAGAUUUCAUCUUGUUCGUUGAUGUAAUUCGAUCUAUAUCAUCAGUUAUG
rnacentral:lncRNA from 1 species